CCUACGGGAGGCAGCAGUGGGGAAUAUUGCACAAUGGGGGCAACCCUGAUGCAGCGACGCCGCGUGAGUGAAGAAGUAUUUCGGUAUGUAAAGCUCUUUCAGCAGGGACGAAAAUGACGGUACCUGAUUAAGAAGCACCGGCUAACUACGGGCCAGCAGCCGCGGUAAUACGUAGGGGGCAAGCGUUAGCCGGAUUUACUGGGUGGAAAGGGAGCGUAGACGGCAGCGCAAGUCGGGAGUGAAAUGCCGGGGCUUAACCCCGGAACUGCAUUGGAAACUGUGCAGCUAGAGUGCAGGAGAGGUAAGUGGAAUUCCUAGUGUAGCGGUGAAAUGCGUAGAUAGUAGGAGGAACACCAGUGGCGAAGGCGGCUUACUGGACUGUAACUGACGUUGAGGCUCGAAAGCGUGGGGAGCAAACAGGAUUAGAUACCCGGGUAGUC
rnacentral:rRNA from 1 species